rnacentral:rRNA from 1 species
GAUGAACGCUGGCGGCGUGCCUAAUACAUGCAAGUCGAGCGAACAGACGAGGAGCUUGCUCCUCUGACGUUAGCGGCGGACGGGUGAGUAACACGUGGAUAACCUACCUAUAAGACUGGGAUAACUUCGGGAAACCGGCGCUAAUACCGGAUGAUAUAUUGAACCGCAUUGUUCAAUAGUGAAAGACGGUUUUGCUGUCACUUAUAGAUGGAUCCGCGCCGCAUUAGCUAGUUGGUAAGGUAACGGCUUACCAAGGCAACCAUGCGUAGCCGACCUGAGAGGGUGAUCGGCCACACUGGAACUGAGACACGGUCCAGACUCCUACGGGAGGCAGCAGUAGGGAAUCGUCCGCAAUGGGCGAAAGCCUGACGGAGCAACGCCGCGUGAGUGAUGAAGGUCUUCGGAUCGUAAAACUCUGUUAUUAGGGAAGAACAAAUGUGUAAGUAACUAUGCACGUCUUGACGGUACCUAAUCAGAAAGCCACGGCUAACUACGUG